CCUCGCCAUGCCCCGAGACGCCGAGACCAACGCCUUCCUGCUCUCAUGUUUCACGUCCGACGUGAGGGACAAGAGGGCCGUCUGUUUCGGCCUGCACGAUCAGCGUGAAGAGGGAAGCUUUGAGUGGGUGGAUGGCUCUGCACUUGGGACAUACAACUGCUGGGCUACGGCGCAACCGGACAACAAAAGGGGCAUAGAAGAUUGUGUCUGUUACUCCGCAUAUACAUCUCGUGGGAGACACUCAUACAGGGAAUAUAAUUACAAGUGGAACGACGCACCAUGUGAGGCGCGGAUUCGUUUCAUCUGCCAGGUUGUUCCAGGCCGUCCCUAGCCGGUCGACAGGAGGAACUCUCAUCGCCACUGUCCAGCAGCUUUCCUAAAAUCCACAGAAAAAGGGCAAGCUACAAUCCACCAGUAAAAUGUCAAAGAAAAAUUAAUGCUUGGUCCAAAAAGGGUCCAAAUAGCACCUUGUUUUCUAGACGUCACAAAUCUAGAAUUGAGAUCGUCCACCGUAUGUAUGUGUUGAUGCUAUUUUGGUAUGUGAGAUAAAGCAUCAACAGACCCGUGGUCAGCUGUUAUGUAUGGAAAAAAAUCAAAUAGUCUUGUUUUCAGAGCACCAUUCUUGUCUCCAUUAAACAAUGUAUUUCUACGUGUUGCCUUCACCUAAUCUCCAAGCAGAUCCUACGGUGCCAUAAGAUAGUAUCAAAGCUGGCCAGGGAGUAUGGCCGGCUAAGGGAGUCAAACGGUAAGUUUGAUACCAAUACAUUACGCACCGUGGAUCUACUUGGAGAUUAGCCUUCACCCAAAAUUUCUUUGGUCUCCAGUUAUUGGUCAAAAUUGAGAUCAACAGCACGCGGACACGCCUUUGUGGAAGUGAACUUUUGGUGUCUUUAUGUUACCAUAUAAAUGAUAGGCAAGCAGAUGUGAGGAGAGCAGAUGGUAAAUAUAAAUGUAACUUGGGUGUCGCCAUGGUGUAAUAGAG